rnacentral:rRNA from 1 species
AGAGUUUGAUCAUGGCUCAGAUUGAACGCUGGCGGCAGGCCUAACACAUGCAAGUCGAACGGUAACAGGAAACAGCUUGCUGUUUCGCUGACGAGUGGCGGACGGGUGAGUAAUGUCUGGGAAACUGCCUGAUGGAGGGGGAUAACUACUGGAAACGGUAGCUAAUACCGCAUAACGUCGCAAGACCAAAGAGGGGGACCUUCGGGCCUCUUGCCAUCAGAUGUGCCCAGAUGGGAUUAGCUAGUAGGUGGGGUAACGGCUCACCUAGGCGACGAUCCCUAGCUGGUCUGAGAGGAUGACCAGCCACACUGGAACUGAGACACGGUCCAGACUCCUACGGGAGGCAGCAGUGGGGAAUAUUGCACAAUGGGCGCAAGCCUGAUGCAGCCAUGCCGCGUGUAUGAAGAAGGCCUUCGGGUUGUAAAGUACUUUCAGCGGGGAGGAAGGGAGUAAAGUUAAUACCUUUGCUCAUUGACGUUACCCGCAGAAGAAGCACCGGCUAACUCCGUGCCAGCAGCCGCGGUAAUACGGAGGGUGCAAGCGUUAAUCGGAAUUACUGGGCGUAAAGCGCACGCAGGCGGUUUGUUAAGUCAGAUGUGAAAUCCCCGGGCUCAACCUGGGAACUGCAUCUGAUACUGGCAAGCUUGAGUCUCGUAGAGGGGGGUAGAAUUCCAGGUGUAGCGGUGAAAUGCGUAGAGAUCUGGAGGAAUACCGGUGGCGAAGGCGGCCCCCUGGACGAAGACUGACGCUCAGGUGCGAAAGCGUGGGGAGCAAACAGGAUUAGAUACCCUGGUAGUCCACGCCGUAAACGAUGUCGACUUGGAGGUUGUGCCCUUGAGGCGUGGCUUCCGGAGCUAACGCGUUAAGUCGACCGCCUGGGGAGUACGGCCGCAAGGUUAAAACUCAAAUGAAUUGACGGGGGCCCGCACAAGCGGUGGAGCAUGUGGUUUAAUUCGAUGCAACGCGAAGAACCUUACCUGGUCUUGACAUCCACGGAAGUUUUCAGAGAUGAGAAUGUGCCUUCGGGAACCGUGAGACAGGUGCUGCAUGGCUGUCGUCAGCUCGUGUUGUGAAAUGUUGGGUUAAGUCCCGCAACGAGCGCAACCCUUAUCCUUUGUUGCCAGCGGUCCGGCCGGGAACUCAAAGGAGACUGCCAGUGAUAAACUGGAGGAAGGUGGGGAUGACGUCAAGUCAUCAUGGCCCUUACGACCAGGGCUACACACGUGCUACAAUGGCGCAUACAAAGAGAAGCGACCUCGCGAGAGCAAGCGGACCUCAUAAAGUGCGUCGUAGUCCGGAUUGGAGUCUGCAACUCGACUCCAUGAAGUCGGAAUCGCUAGUAAUCGUGGAUCAGAAUGCCACGGUGAAUACGUUCCCGGGCCUUGUACACACCGCCCGUCACACCAUGGGAGUGGGUUGCAAAAGAAGUAGGUAGCUUAACCCUCGGGAGGGCGCUUACCACUUUGUGAUUCAUGACUGGGGUGAAGUCGUAACAAGGUAACCGUAGGGGAACCUGCGGUUG